AUGAACGCUGGCGGCGUGCCUAACACAUGCAAGUCGGAUGUGCCGCAAGGUGCAUGGCAGACGGGUGAGUAACGCGUGGGGAAUCUACCUCUUUGUGGGGAAUAACGCUCCGAAAGGAGUGGUAAUACCGCAUGAGACCUUUGGCUGGGAUGCUGGAGGUGAAACCUGGGGACCGCAAGGCCUGGGGCAAGGAGAGGAUCCUGCGUCUGAUUAGCUAGUUGGCGGGGUAAUGGCCCACCAAGGCGACGAUCAGUAGCCGGCCUGAGAGGGUGAUCGGCCACACUGGAACUGAGACACGGUCCAGACUCCUACGGGAGGCAGCAGUGGGGAAUUUUGCGCAAUGGACGAAAGUCUGACGCAGCAACGCCGCGUGGGUGAUGAAGGUCUUCGGACUGUAAAACCCUGUCGUCAGGGACGAAGGUGCGCAUGUUAAUAGCAUGUGUACUUGACGGUACCUGGAGAGGAAGCCCCGGCUAACUCUG
rnacentral:rRNA from 1 species